CUCUGUUGCAAGUGGGGGUGCAGAGAGUGGCAGGGCUCCCCCUUCUCUUGCUCCAAACAGAAAAGUUUUAUUUGGCCCCAAGCUUCCUAUAAAUUUUCACCUCUAGGAAGACUUCAGCAGAAGAAAAAUGUCUGCAAACCAGUGCCCUGUGGAAUUAGAAACAAAUAUGAGAAGCUGAGUGAGCUUGGGCAAGCACGUGAAACCACAUCUUAUCUUUCUGAAUCCAACCUGAGAAUCUGAAGCCAUUUCUGUGGUGGCAGAGCUCCAUCCAUGAUGCAACAGAGAUGGGGCAUUUGGCAAGACUCCCAGAAUACUCACCCCACUACCUGGAGAAGAAGAAUAAGAGUCUGGGCUGUACAGCCUUCAUUGAAUUUAAAGAUAUGUCUGCCACCUAAUGAUGAGCUGGGGAACAUAAUCAUCUCUGUUAUCUCUCUAUCUCCAGUGGUUUCCACAGUGCUUGUCACAUGGUAGGUGCUUGGUAAUUGCAUUUGGUGACAAUGAUACAAAAACAAUUAAGACAUAACUGUUGUCCUCAAAGAGUGAGUAGAAAUAAUUAAUGCAAUCAGAUAGUGUCUGUAACAGAUACAUGUGGAAAGUUCUAUGGACAUAUAGGAAGAGUGAUUAAAUCUCAAUGGGACUUUGCCCAUGUAAAGAGAAAUCAGAGGUAUCUCCAGAUAAAUAUAUAUCUUUUAAACAAAUUUUUGCAGUUUGUGUAGAAAUUAG
rnacentral:lncRNA from 1 species